UUAAGCAUAUCAAUAAGCGGAGGAAAAGAAAAUAACAAUGAUUCCCUCAGUAACGGCGAGUGAACAGGGAAAAGCUCAAAGUUGGAACCUGGUGGGCCUAGCCUACCCGGAUUGUAAACUAAAGUUUUUGGGUCGUUUAGUCAGCCAGAUAAAUAAGUCCUCUGGAAAGGGGCGACAUAGAGGGUGAAAUCCCCGUCUUUGGUCUGAGCAUGAUUAGGCGUUUGGCCUGGAAACGAAGAGUCAGGUUGUUUGGGAAUGCAGCCUAAAAUGGGAGGUAAAUCUCUCCUAAAGCUAAAUAUUGACGAAAGACCGAUAGCGAACAAGUACCGUGAGGGAAAGAUGAAAAGCACUUUGAAAAGAGGGUCAAAAAGUACGUGAAAUUGCUGAAAGGGAACCGUAUAAAAUCAGACUUACUGGUAGGUAAUCAACCUUCCUCUCGGGGAGGGUGCACUUGCCUGCUAUUGUAUGCCAGCAAUACUUUGGUUGGGAGGAAAAAAGUAGGAGAAAUGUAGCCUGGGUUUCGGCUUAGGUGUUAUAGUCUCUUGCAAAAUACUCUCGGCUGGAGUAAGGAACGCAGCAAACCGUAAGGCGAAGAUUUUGGGCGCUUGGAGUUAAUAGUUGGAGAAUUUCUGCUUCGGGUGGUGCUUCAGCUAUUGAUUUUAACUCGCUUAAAGUUCUUUUAAUUGCUUAGG
rnacentral:rRNA from 1 species